rnacentral:misc_RNA from 1 species
UUUGUUGCGGUUUGGUGUGUCUUUUAUUUUUACGUGGAACUCAUAUCGAUCCGAUAUGCCGCGUCCGAGAAUGGAUUUUGCGACUAAUAAGUGGCGAGGCACCACGCGAGCAAGAAUGAACAGCCCUGGAGGUUAUGGGCACUGCUCAAUUGGCUCAUUCCUCGGUGCUUCUCGAAGGCCUGGUCAAGGAGGAGUUGCUCAGUGAACUACUAGUUUGAGUUCCCUGAGACGGACACCACUGACAUCACCUACAGUGCUGAGGUACAGACUUAAUGGCAGAUAUCAAUAGGAGAUGAUGGUACGCGUCACGUCUGUUUGGUUGGACAGCCACCAAGUUGACUUGGAUGUCAGCACCUGUUGUCAUCAGAACCUGGUUCUUGUGCUGCCACAUCGUUUUUGGUGGUGGCGCUGUCGUCACCUCCCAACGCUUGCGCUCCCCGAGUUCCCAUUCAAGAUGGUGCUGCCACGGACUUUGGCUCGUGGGGGUGCCGUCGCUACUGACAAAGCCUGUGCUCCCCGUCGUCCCUGUUGAAAUGGUGGCUGGAACUUGGAGAGGGUUUGCUGCCACAGCCGCUCGCACCUUCACGGAGUACAGCAAUGUGGGGA